ACAGAGAGUUUCCACACUGCACCUCACACACACACACACACACACACACCUGAGAGAGCUGGACCUGAGAUACAAUCACCCAGGAGACUCAGGAGUGAGAGCGCUGUCUGCUGCUAAACUGGACACACUCACACUGCUUGUGGACCAUGGAGGAGAGAACAGGACCAAACCAGGACUGAGGAAAUACGGCUGUCAGCUCACACUGGAUCCAAACACAGCGCACAGAGAGCUGUCUCUGUCUGAGGGGAACAGGAGGGUGACACACACACCGGG